AAAAAUAGUUUACUAAAAACAUUAGACUUCAAAUCUGAAAACCCUUUUGGUUUUUA
rnacentral:tRNA from 1 species